rnacentral:rRNA from 1 species
CCCGCUGAACUUAAGCAUAUCAAUAAGCGGAGGAAAAGAAACUAACAAGGAUUCCCUUAGUAACUGCGAGUGAAGAGGGAAAAGCUCAAAUUUAAAAUCUGGCAGUGUUUCAUUGUCCGAGUUGUAACCUAGAGAAGUGUAACCUGUGCUGGACCGUGUACAAGUCUCCUGGAAUGGAGCAUCACAGAGGGUGAGAAUCCCGUCUUUGACACGGACUACCAGUGCAUUGUGGUUGUGCUCUCAGCGAGUCGAGUUGUUUGGGAAUGCAGCUCUAAAUGGGUGGUAAAUUCCAUCUAAAGCUAAAUAUUGGCGAGAGACCGAUAGCGAACAAGUACCGUGAGGGAAAGAUGAAAAGAACUUUGGAAAGAGAGUUAAACAGUAUGUGAAAUUGUUGAAAGGGAAACGUUUGAAGUCAGUCGUGUUGGCUGGGGAUCAACCUGACUUAUUGUUAGGUGUAUUUCCUGGUUGACGGGCCAACAUCAGUUUUGACUGCCAGAAAAAGGCCAAGGGAAUGUGGCACCUUUGGGUGUGUUAUAGCUUUUGGUCGUAUGUGGUGGUUGGGACUGAGGACAGCAGUGCGCCGCAAUGGCAGGGUUUCGACCACAUUCGCACUGAGGAUGUUGGCAUAAUGGCUUUAAGCGACCCGUCUUGAAACACGG